rnacentral:rRNA from 1 species
ACGGGUGAGUAACGCGUGGGAACGUACCUUUUGGUUCGGAACAACUGAGGGAAACUUCAGCUAAUACCGGAUAAGCCCUUACGGGGAAAGAUUUAUCGCCGAAAGAUCGGCCCGCGUCUGAUUAGCUAGUUGGUGAGGUAAUGGCUCACCAAGGCGACGAUCAGUAGCUGGUCUGAGAGGAUGAUCAGCCACAUUGGGACUGAGACACGGCCCAAACUCCUACGGGAGGCAGCAGUGGGGAAUAUUGGACAAUGGGCGAAAGCCUGAUCCAGCCAUGCCGCGUGAGUGAUGAAGGCCCUAGGGUUGUAAAGCUCUUUUGUGCGGGAAGAUAAUGACGGUACCGCAAGAAUGAGCCCCGGCUAACUUCGUGCCAGCAGCCGCGGUAAUACGAAGGGGGCUAGCGUUGCUCGGAAUCACUGGGCGUAAAGGGUGCGUAGGCGGGUUCUUAAGUCAGAGGUGAAAUCCUGGAGCUCAACUCCAGAACUGCCUUUGAUACUGAGAGUCUUGAGUAUGACAGAGGUGAGUGGAACUGCGAGUGUAGAGGUGAAAUUCGUAGA